rnacentral:rRNA from 1 species
UACGAAGGGGGCUAGCGUUGCUCGGAAUCACUGGGCGUAAAGCGCACGUAGGCGGAUUGCUAAGUCAGGGGUGAAAUCCUGGAGCUCAACUCCAGAACUGCCUUUGAUACUGGCGGUCUCGAGUCCGGGAGAGGUGAGUGGAACUGCGAGUGUAGAGGUGAAAUUCGUAGAUAUUCGCAAGAACACCAGUGGCGAAGGCGGCUCACUGGCCCGAUACUGACGCUGAGGCACGAAAGCGUGGGGAGCAAACAGG